rnacentral:rRNA from 1 species
GAUGAACGCUAGCGGAAGGCUUAAUACAUGCAAGUCGAGCGGUAGGUGGCUUCGGCCAUUGAGAGCGGCGCACGGGUGAGUAACGCGUACAUGACCUGCCUGUCAGAAGGGGAUAGCCCUGGGAAACUGGGAUUAAUACCCUAUGGUAUUGAUAUUAUGAAUGAUAUCAAUUAAAGUUGAGGCGCUGACAGAUGGAUGGGCGUCUGAUUAGCUAGUUGGUAGGGUAACUGCCCACCAAGGCGACGAUCAGUAGGGGGCGUGAGAGCGUGGUCCCCCACACGGGUACUGAGACACGGACCCGACUCCUACGGGAGGCAGCAGUAAGGAAUAUUGGUCAAUGCCCGCAAGGGUGAACCAGCCAUUCCGCGUGGAGGAUGAAGGCCCUAUGGGUUGUAAACUUCUUUUAGAUGGGAAGAAAAUGCUAGAUGUAUCUGGUACUGACGGUACCAUCAGAAUAAGCACCGGCUAACUCCGUGCCAGCCGCCGCGGUAACAC